rnacentral:rRNA from 1 species
GGAUUCCCCUAGUAACGGCGAGUGAAGAGGGAAAAGCCCAGCACCGAAGCCUGCGGCAGUUUUGCUGUUAGGCAAUGUGGUGUUUGGGUCGGCUCGUGGGAUUGCCACUCCACUCGAAGUCCAGCAUUGAGUAUGGUCACUGGAUUUGGCCCAAAGAGGGUGAAAGGCCCGUCCGGGUGGAGGUUCAGAAAUGUAAGGCAGUUCACCAGGUCGACCUUAGAGUCGGGUUGUUUGAGAAUGCAGCCCAAAGCGGGUGGUAAACUCCAUCCAAGGCUAAAUACAAGCACGAGUCCGAUAGCGAACAAGUACCGUGAGGGAAAGUUGAAAAGUACUCUGAAGAGAGAGUAAACAGUACGUGAAACCGCAUGCAGGUAAACGGGUGGCGUCAAGCUGCAAGCCCAGAGGAUUCAGCCGGCUAGGAUGUAGUGUAUGCGCCUGGCGCAUCCAUCAGUCAGAGUAUGAUUAGAUAGUCCACUGGAAAACGGUGGGCCCGGCCGCAAGGUUGGGAUAUGUGUACCGGGUGGGUGCCGGAGCAUGCUAUCUGUCUAGGGACUGUCUAGCCGGUGCACUUUCUCUGUGGCUGACACCACGACCGGUGGUAUUGCCAGUCUGCUGUGUCCAAGUCGUAUUCGGUAGGUCCUUGUGGCCAACUGGGUGCGAUCACAGGCAAACUCAGUAUACGGCGUAGAGGGGUUUCGGCUUCUUUGCGUGUUAUCGGCUACUGGUUGUCAACGGGCUGCCUAGUGUUUGUUGUGAUCGGCACUUGGGUAGUCUGGUGGGACAUGGUGGUAAGAAUAACUGUGCAAGGCACCGGAUUUAUCGGCCUCAAAUGCACUGCACGCCCAUGUUACAAGUGGUGCUAUGGCGGUGCCGUCGCUGUCUGCUCGGUGUUGGGUCUGAUUGUCGUGUCGCCUGCGAAAAGUGGGCCCGGCUUUGGCUCGACUCGAGAUGGGUAGUGUAUGGUGUCGUCAGUGUGUAGUGUGGUGGGCCUAAUAGUCAGUGGUGUAGUGGUAGACGAGCUACCCGACCCGUCUUGAAACACGGACCAAGGAGUUUAACAUGUAUGCAAGUCAAUGGGCGUUACGAAACCCAAAGGCGCAGUGAAAGUAAAGCUCCGACUUGUCUCGGGGUGAGGUGAGAUCCUGCUGUUACUCGCAUCAGCCUAAUGUCAGCAUCAGGUUAAGAGCAGUAGGCGCAUCACCGGCCCGUCCCAUGAUGUGGUCAUUGGAUUCUGAGGUCGUCGCUUCGGUGGCGGCCGUUGUGCCAGUGCGUCAUCGGGGCGGAGCAUGAGCAUACAUGUUGAGAC